rnacentral:rRNA from 1 species
CCUACGGGAGGCAGCAGUGAGGAAUAUUGCACAAUGGGGGAAACCCUGAUGCAGCGACGCCGCGUGAGUGAAGAAGUAUUUCGGUAUGUAAAGCUCUAUCAGCAGGGAAGAAAUAGCGACCUUUGGGUCGCCAGACGGUACCUGAUUAAGAAGCCCCGGCUAACUACGUGCCAGCAGCCGCGGUAAUACGUAGGGGGCAAGCGUUAUCCGGAUUUAUUGGGUUUAAAGGGUGCGUAGGCGGAUGCUUAAGUCAGCGGUAAAAUUGCGGGGCUCAACCUCGUCGAGCCGUUGAAACUGGGUGCCGUGAGUGGGCGAGAAGUACGCGGAAUGCGUGGUGUAGCGGUGAAAUGCAUAGAUAUCACGCAGAACUCCGAUUGCGAAGGCAGCGUACCGGCGCCCAACUGACGCUGAAGCACGAAGGCGUGGGUAUCGAACAGGAUUAGAUACCCCAGUAGUC